UUAAGUUGUCGUCGUCGUACAACGUGCUGUAAAAAAUCAGAUACUUAAAGAGCGGAUGUUUCAACAGCCAAUAUACAAUUGUCAUUAUACGCCAUUUCGGUCGAUUUUUGUUUUUUUCUUCAAUAUAAGUAAAGUAUGUAUAUUAGUAUAAUUAUGUAUGAUUAUUGUACGUUGUAUUGUAUAGAAUCCAAGUGAACAGAGAAUAUGGACGAACGAAAAAUUGAUAUUUUGAAAAAAAAAAUACUACAGAUUAGGUUAUAUUCUAACCUAAUAUUAAGUCUUAAUACAAGAUUAAGACAAAAAUCGGUAUUCGGUUUUAACGGCGUUGUCAGAAGACAUAAAAAAAACAUUCUGUUAGUAUACAGUUGCACUAUUGUCCCCCCCCACUCACUACUGUGAAAUUGUAAAAUAAUAAAAUUGUUAUCUGGAUAUACCACGUACAGGGAAUUCGAAUUUUUUAGUAGUUACGAGCGUUUCUUUAUAGCUAGUCCAACUCUAUCGCUAAUAAGGCAUGGUUUUUUGCAGCAACAGAAUUCAAAGUUUUUUCCAACUUCAAAUCCUGGCUACAUCGAAAUUUACGAAAUUUAGACUCUGCAGGACCCACAUCCGGAAUUAAACGUGAGUGAAUAUGAGGUCGAAGUUUCAAAAGUGGCUAAGAAUAUACUUUGGGAAACACUUGAUUCGGAAAUACACGUGAUAAGAGCUCAACACACACGAGGCGGAUACCGUCUGUGUAUUUGAAUUACACAAUAGAGUACAAGGAGUAACUGUCUCCGACGACAUCGCACAAUGUUCGGACGAAAGAGGUAAGUUUAACGUUUAUUUUACUAGAAACACUAUAAAUGUUAUUUAAAUUAUAUCGAGCGUUCAUAUUUAUACAAUUUAAGUUUCUCUAAUAUGUUUUACGAAAUUUUCAUACUCAUUGAAAAAAAUUAUUUAUACGGGAUUUUUAUUUAGGUAAUAUUUAGUUAAUUAGAGUAUAAUUACGUUAAAAUAAUUUUUUUUAGGAUUUAUUGAUAAAUAAUAAUUAAUGUUCUCAGUAGGAUUUCGAACUAUUUAAAUAUUUAUUUCAUCGAGGUAUUUAUUUUUAUAGUAAUAAUUAUUAGUUGGUAUUAUUUAAAAUAUCAUGACAAUUUAAAUUUUCGAUAAAUCUAAAUUAAUUUUUAGUUCAAACAUCUUAAUAGUUAAAUAUUAACACAUUAAUUAUUGAUUAAAUAUAUUAAUUACAAUAAAUAUUUGUUUUCUUGAACGUCGUAAUUAAAAUUAAUUUUGUAGAAUAGUAAAUUAUAAUGUUUGAAAAUCCUACAAAAAUCAAAAUUAUUCAUUUUUCAUUAAUUUAUAGUAGCUAUUAUUUGAUUAAAAAAAUAUGGUACAAAAAAAAUGGUAAAAAUCAAUUUUUUAACGGUUUUUUUUUUAAAAUUUAUUUAGUCUUAUAUUUCGGAGCAGGAUUUUAUUAUAAAAAUGUCGAUAUGUAGAAGAGUAGCUACCGGAAUGUGUGGAACAUACUAUUGCACUCAAUUUAACAUUAAAUGCUAACAUUUUAACUAAACAUUUUCAUUUAAUAUUUUAUUUUUAAAUACCAACAAAUUUUACCUAAAGAAUAAUAGGUCUGCUGUAGAAUAUUAAAUAAAAUGAAAUACCUACUACUACUUUUAACAGUUCAGACUAUAUAAAAACUUUAUUUAUUUAAAAAAAAAACCUAUAAUUGGAUUGAGACAAUGAGUGUUUACUAUUAAAGUAAUCCCUCUGUAAUCACUAAUAUAUAUAUUAUUAUAUAUAGUAACUUAUAGACCAUAUUAUCAUAAAUAGUUUAAUACAAUUUACAGGAUAUGACGUACCAAUAUCAACAAAAUAUGCAUUAGAACCCACACAUAGCUGGAGGUAUAAAAUAUAAGAUAAUUUAUUGUUUUAAAAUGUAAUAAAUAGUUUUAAUUACUGCCUAAAUUUACGAUAUGAUUGAUUUAUAGCGUGCAAUUAGAAUAUUACGGGUUUACUUCAAUGAAGGAAACGAUGAAAUGAGCUAAACAAUGUACAAUUUUGGGUGUGAGAAGUAUGAAGCUUAUCAAUUAUAUCUAAACGAAAUAGGUUUUAUAUUUCUUAAAAUAAUCGUUUAGCGCCAAUUUAAGUGUAUUCUUUAAAAAUAAUUACUAACAAAAAAUAUAUGAAAACUUAUGUAAUUAUAUAAUAAUUAAAACAACACGUCAAUACAGCAAUAAAAUAAAUCAUAAAGUAAAAAUUAACGUUAUUAAUCUUAGCUGGAGCAUUAUACUAUGCUCAUAAUAUUAAAUGGUAAUAUUAUGGUAAAUAGUAAAGCCUAAAAUUUACGUAAAAUUUAAGUUAUGCGUAAUUUGAUACAGAUUCAUAAUCUGGUUAUAGUUACCUAUUAAUAAACUAUAUUUGUGUACGUUUAGUACUAUAGUUAUAGACCUAUAUAUGCAUAAGUAUUUUAGACAAUUUGUAUAGUUUGUACAUUUUGGAGACAAAAAUCAUAAGGAGUACGUAAAAAAAGGCUUUUCGGGGUCAUGUAUAAUAUAUAAAUACGGUUCAUAAGUAUAUUAUAGAUCAAAUAAUUACAAAUAUGGAAUUGUAAUUUGUAUUGACGUGUAAUAUUAUUAAUUCAAGCUGCAUAAUAGUUGGUCAAUAAAAAUUCAAUUUUAAAUUUCAAAGGUAGAUAAAAAAAAUAUUUUAUGGUAUAUAUACAUUUUAUAAUUAUAUUUGAGCGUGGUAAACAAUAUGUUCGUUUAAACUAUUUUUUCAAUGUACAAAAAUCACUAGUAGUAUUUAACGUACACUCGUUUUCUAAUUAUAAUUAAUGGCCUAUUAAAAAAACCAUAAAAUGAAUUUAUGAAGAAACGCAAAAAUAGUUAACAGCUAUGGAAAUUAAUUAUAUUUACGUGGUGGGUUUGACAACGGGAAAAAGUGAUGGCUCACCGGCCAAUAUCCAACACUAAAUAGUUUAAUUGAUAGACAAUUUUAUUUUUGUAUUUAAUAGAAGUUAGUGACCAUUAAUUUUUGUUUUGUAUCGUCUAAUGAAUUAUACUUAGCUAAAUCAAUAAAUUACGUAUAUAACUUUUAUGUUUUUACUUAAUACCUAUUAUUUUAUCGAUCACAAAUGUUUGAUAAUUUAAUUUCAAACAAAGGAAUGUGAAAAAAAAGGGCAUAGCAAGAAAAGCGCAGUUGCGUCACUUUACACUCAGCUGCUGCAAAACGCGUUUUAUCAUAAGUUACAAUAUACGAAUUAUUAAAAUUACUACUUAGGUAUUUUAUUAAUUACGAUGCAUUUUUUAAACUUGGCUGACACGAGAGCAAUUCAAACUUGAUACAAGUAGGUACAAGUCAAUAAUAAUAAAAGGUGUAGAGUCAUUACAAACACAACUAUCUAUCAUUGAAAAGAUCAUAACCUUUUGUUUUUAUAUUUUCUAAUAAAUAUCUAUUGUUCUUUUAAGUUUUUUGUACAAAUAUACUAUCUAUUGUUCGUAAGUAGAUGAUUUGAUGUGUUACACGUUUUUAACUAUUUAAAAUAAAUCACGUACUUAUUUUUAUCUAAAUAUUCAUACAUUUGAUAUUACCUAUAUUAUUCACUGCACCAAUUUUUCUAAAUAUAACAUGAUUACAACAGUUUGUAUUUAUAUUUUAUAUUUGGCGGUACUCGAUAUCAAUACCUAAAUAAUUAAUAGAAACAAUUUAAAAUACUAUGUGUAUAGUAGGUAAUAAUAAAAAAUGAAAACGGAGCUACUACAUUUUAAAAUACAAAUUCUUCUAGAAUUAUUUAUAAAUAAUUUAGAAAAAUUGAAAAAAAUGGAAAAAUAUCCAAAACUACAGGACUAUAUAAAUAAAUAUAUAAAGAAAAUCUGUGAAUCAUAAAUAUGAUUUGUUAAUAAGCAACCAUAAUAACGAAAACCUUACGAAAAAUCGGUCGUAAUCAAAAAAAUCAUGUAUCUAGCCCAAAAACAUAUUUAUGAUAAAAUAGUAUAAUGCCUAUGCGUGUGUUUGAAUGAUCUAAUUUCGUAAAAUAAUGUUAAAAUUAUAUUCUAUUUAACAAUAAAAUUACUUUUCUCGUUGUCAUACACAUAAUUAUUACAAUAUUUACAUCAAGCUAUUGGCAUUUGAAAAUAAUUUUUUUAUAAAAAUUGAAUUUCCUUUGUAUUUAAUUUUUUUGUGGAUACCAUACAGCUGAAAUAAUUUUUAAAACUUGUAUUAUGUAUUUAAAUUAUCAAUUAAUAACGAUUGAAUAACUAAUAAAAAUUCGACAAAAACACAUUCGUGACUUUUAGACUUUCGUUAAACAUUAAUGUGGGCAUUAUUUAAUACAUUUAUUGUACAAGUAAUAACAUUAUUAUUAUUAUUAUUAUUAUUAUUAUUAUUUUAUAUCAACGUAAAUUUUACUUAUUUUAGUUGGCGGAGUUAAAGCGAUAUAAUAUAAGUUAUUAACACUAUUAAAAAUAAAAUAGAUUUAUAAUUGGUAUAUUAUUUAGUGUAACUGUGUAAGUAUUUAAGUUUUUUUUUAAAUUUUGAAUGAAUAAUAAUUAAAUUGUUUCUAAUAUUUUAUAAUGUUAUACGUUUUUUUUUCAGCCAUGUCAUCUAUUUAGUAUUAAAAAGGUGAUUUUGAUUUUUGCAGUAGUUCUAUGUAUAAGGAAAAUUCACCAACCGUAUUAUUAGAUGGAAAAUGGAAAAAUAUUAAUGGUACAUUCGUUUUCAAAAUUUUACAAUUUUUACACCGAUUAUAUAAUUUAGUAAAUUUGAUAAUUUUUUCAGUUGAAUUUUUAUAAAUUUAUAAAUUAUGACCAAAUUUUAAAAACUGAAACUUUCUGAAAAAUGUUAUUUUUUUAUAAAUGAAUAUAAAUGUUUCAAGAUGUUCAGUGUUUACUAAAACCGUUUUUAAUAUUGGACUUUUAAAGUUUUCGCUAUUUAAAAUACUCUAUUACAAGGUUGGGUUAUAUUUUACAACUUGUUAUAAACACGUCUUAUGGUAAUCCUAGCUUUUCUUAAGAAUCGUUUAUCGAAUGCAACGAUUUAAUAUAAUUCCGGUUUUAUAAUAAUCAAUGGUUACACCUAAUUUGUAUUAUUAAUCAUUAUACUUAAUACCGACAUCAGUUACCAACUUUACAAUGGACCAACAUUCGAUGUCUAAGUAUACAUUAUGUAUUAUUAAUAACAUAAGUAUUUACUAUUUAUUGAUCUACAAUUUAAAAAUGUUUGAUGAAUUGAGUUUUGUUUAAUUACUAUUUAUUUAAAGCGUAUCUAAUUCAAACAGUACCUACACAAUUAUCAUCUACACAGUAAGUUAGAUCAAUAGAAAUAAUUAACUACCUACCACCUAACGUUUAAAGUGUAGAGUCAUUUUUAAAUCAAAUUUUAUCAUGCACUCAAAAUUAUAAUAAGAUAACAAUAAUGCACUUGAGUUGAAUACACAUAUUAUAAUAAUAUUAUUCAAACAUAUUAUAUAUUAUGACGAUGUCCACGUUUGAAUAAAUAAUAUAAUUUAUAUGAAUUAGAAAUUAAAAAUAAUAAUAAAUUGAGUCAUUGAUUAAAAUUGUCAUGUUAGUCUCAAAAAAAUUAAAGUGCAUGAAACCAUUAAUAGUUUAUAUGUAUUAAAGAAAUAAUAUGAAGAAAAUAGUUUUAUACUUUUAUGCAGGUACCUAGUAAGAUAAUGUUCAACGUCAAUCAAUUUUUUUUUAAUUAUUUCUAAACAAACAAAUAAUUCGUUAUAAACUAAGUAUACCUAAACGGGAUGCAGUGGCCGUGGAUAUUAAGCACUAGUCAAUAGUCAUUCUCGAAUCAUUCGUCUUGUAAAACUAAAGGUUUUAAAUUGUUACAAUAAUAAUGAUUAAGUAUUGUAUGUUAUUGUAAGCAUUAAUAAUAAAUUAUCGCUUUUCUAAAGUAUUUAUUAAUAUUAAUAUAUAUUUUUGUAAUGUUAAAGUGUUCGUACGAAUGAUUAGGAAUAGAUAUAUAUUUGAAAAAUAUAUUAUAUAUUCUAUGGUUUGUAUAUUUAUAUAUUUUUUUAGUAAUCUUAGUUUAAAAUUAAAAUCUUCGUUUUAUAAUACCUAUACAAUUCAAUAAUAUAUUCCCUGACAUUAUGAAUGCUUUUCGAAACACACGUACUAUAAUAUAAAUAUCAUAACAUUAGUUUUUUAAAAUUAUACUUAAUACGUCAUAAAUUUUAUUUAAAAUAAAAAAAAUAUGUAUCGAGUAUUUCUGGAAGAGCUGAGUGGAACCCACGUGAUCGUAUUUAUUCUCAACUACGUUCAACACACUGGAGAUCCAACAAACCACUAACCCAGCAAUAAUUGAAAAAACCGAGUAAUCUAAUCGAUUUGUAUUGCGUUACAUAGGUUUAUGAACUUAUCUCGCUGGACUCUCGGCUAUCGGCCAUCACCUUUCUUUUCAAUUUCCUGUUAUUUGAUAAUAAGUCAAUACCACUAUCAAAACAAUUAUCAUUCAAACGGAUGUACCGAAACCUUACUAAAUUGAACACAAACAACACGCAUCCGAGAAAUUCAUCCAACGAUGUGAAAGAACUAAGUAACACGAAAAGAAAAAUAUUAAUACCUAUAAUUCCAACUUUUUAAAACAUCAAUUUCUACACACAAAGGACAUAUUUCUUCAGAAAACAAUACAUAUAAUAUUUUUAGAAUUAAAGAAAUUAAUUUAAUUGACAAUAGAUUAAACCACAAUAAAACCUUCGUUUAAGAUAACGUCUCGGGCCUCAUUAUUUAUUUGAGAAAACUGCUCUUCUGUAGUCCCCUGCGAAGAUUCUCUUAAAAUAUUUCUGUACAACAGUAGGGAUUUUACAAGGACAGAACGACAUUUCUCCUGAUCUCUUCAGUAUAACUUAACCUUUACGAAGCAUAUCCGACAAUAUUUUAACCACGUUA